GAAUUUUGCACAAUGGGCGCAAGCCUGAUGCAGCAACGCCGCGUGAGUGAAGAAGGCCCUUGGGUCGUAAAGCUCUUUCGACUGGGAAGAAGGGCUCUACGGUGAAUAAUCGUGGAGUCUGACGGUACCAGCAGAAGAAGCACCUGCUAACUACGUGCCAGCAGCAGCGGUAAUACGUAGGGUGCUAGCGUUGUUCGGAAUUACUGGGCGUAAAGCGCGCGUAGGCGGGUUCGUAAGUCGAUUGUGAAAGCCCUGGGAUUAACCUGGGAAUUGCAGUCGAAACUGCGGAUCUUGAGUGCCUGAGAGGAUGGCGGAAUUCCCGGUGUAGUAGUGAAAUACGUAGAUAUCGGGAAGAACACCUGAGGCGAAGGCGGCUAUCUGGCGGUGCACUGACGCUGAUGCGCGAAAGCGUGGGGAGCAAACAG
rnacentral:rRNA from 1 species